rnacentral:rRNA from 1 species
CAGCCGCCGCGGGAAUACGAAGGGUGCAAGCGUUAAUCGGAAUUACUGGGCGUAAAGCGUGCGUAGGCGGUUUGUUAAGUCUGCUGUGAAAUCCCCGGGCUCAACCUGGGAAUGGCAGUGGAUACUGGCAAGCUAGAGUGUGUCAGAGGAUGGUGGAAUUCCCGGUGUAGCGGUGAAAUGCGUAGAGAUCGGGAGGAACAUCAGUGGCGAAGGCGGCCAUCUGGGACAACACUGACGCUGAGGCACGAAAGCGUGGGGAGCAAACAGGAUUAGAUACCCGUGUAGUCCCUGUCUCUUAUAC